rnacentral:rRNA from 1 species
UUUACUAAUACUGUCAGCUAAGUGGCGCACGGGUGAGUAAUAUAUAGUUAAUCUGCCCCAAAGAAGAGAAUAAUUGUUGGAAACGACUUGUAAUGCUCUAUAUGCCUUUAUCACAUAAGUGAGCAAGGGAAACAUUUAUGGCUUUGGGAUGAGACUGUACGGUAUCAGUUAGUUGGUGAGGUAAUGGCUCACCAAGACUAUGACGCCUAACUGGUUUGAGAGGAUGAUCAGUCACACUGGAACUGAGACACGGUCCAGACUCCUACGGGAGGCAGCAGUGGGGAAUAUUGCACAAUGGAGGAAACUCUGAUGCAGCAACGCCGCGUGGAGGAUGACACAUUUCGGUGCGUAAACUCCUUUUAUAUGAGAAGAUAAUGACGGUACCAUAUGAAUAAGCACCGGCUAACUCCGUGCCAGCAGCCGCGGUAAUACGGGGGGUACAAGCGUUACUCGGAAUCACUGGGCGUAAAGAGCAUGUAGGCUGGUUUGUAAGUUGGAAGUGAAAUCCUAUGGCUUAACCAUAGAACUGCUUCCAAACUGCAGACCUAGAAUAUGGGAGAGGUAGAUGGAAUUCUGGUGUAAGGUAACAUCCGUAGAGAUCAGA